rnacentral:rRNA from 1 species
UACGGAGGGGGCUAGCGUUGUUCGGAAUUACUGGGCGUAAAGCGCACGUAGGCGGCUUUGUAAGUUAGAGGUGAAAGCCCGGAGCUCAACUCCGGAACUGCCUUUAAAACUGCAUCGCUUGAAUCCAGGAGAGGUGAGUGGAAUUCCGAGUGUAGAGGUGAAAUUCGUAGAUAUUCGGAAGAACACCAGUGGCGAAGGCGGCUCACUGGACUGGUAUUGACGCUGAGGUGCGAAAGCGUGGGGAGCAAACAGG